UACGUAGGGGGCAAGCGUUGUCCGGAUUUAUUGGGCGUAAAGGGCGCGUAGGCGGCCUGUGCAAGUCAGUUGUGAAAUCUCCGGGCUUAACUCGGAAAGGUCAACUGAUACUGCUCGGCUAGAGUGCGGAAGGGGCAACUGGAAUUCUUGGUGUAGCGGUGAAAUGCGUAGAUAUCAAGAGGAACACCUGCGGCGAAGGCGGGUUGCUGGGCCGACACUGACGCUGAGGCGCGAAAGCUAGGGGAGCGAACGGG
rnacentral:rRNA from 1 species